GAUGAACGCUGGCGGCGUGCCUAAUACAUGCAAGUAGAACGCUGAAGGAGGAGCUUGCUCUUCUGGAUGAGUCGCGAACGGGUGAGUAACGCGUAGGAAACCUGCCUGGUAGCGGGGGAUAACUAUUGGAAACGACAGCUAACACCGCAUGACAACAGUUAUUGCAUGAUAACUGUAUGAAAGGGGCAACUGAUCCAUUACCAGAUGGACUUGCGUUGUAUUAGCUAGUUGGUGAGGUAACGGCUCACCAAGGCGACGAGACAUAGCCGACCUGAGAGGGGGAGCGGCCACGCGAGGACGGAGACACAGCCCAGGCUCCUGCGGGAGGCAGCAGUAGGGAAUCUGCGGGAAGGGACGGAAGUCUGACCGAGCGACGCCGCGUGAGGGAGGAAGGUUGUCGGGUCGUAAAGCUCUGUUGGGAGGGAAGAACGAGUGUGAGAGUAGAAAGUUCACACUGUGACGGUAGCUUACCAGAAAGGGACGGCUAACUACGUG
rnacentral:rRNA from 1 species